rnacentral:rRNA from 1 species
CCUACGGGAGGCAGCAGUGGGGAAUAUUGCACAAUGGGGGAAACCCUGAUGCAGCGACGCCGCGUGCGUGAAGACGUAUUUCGGUAUUUAAAGCUCUAUCAGCAGGGAAGAAAAUGCCGGUACCUGAUUAUGAAGCACCGGCUAACUCCGUGCCAGCAGCCGCGGUAAUACGUAGGGGGCAACCGUUAUCCGGAUUUACUGGGUGUAAAGGGGGCGUAGACGGUGAUGCAAGUCAGAAGUGAAAGCCCGGGGCUCAACUCCGGGACUGCUUUUGAAACUGUGCGACUGGCGUGCAGGAGAGGUAAGCGGAAUGCAUGGUGUAGCGGUGAAAUGCGUAGAUAUCAGGCGGAACACCAGUGGCGAAGGCGGCUUACUGGACUGUAACUGACGUUGAGGCUCGAAAGCGUGGGGAGCAAACAGGAUUAGAUACCCGGGUAGUC